UACGUAGGGACCGAGCGUUGUCCGGAUUCAUUGGGCGUAAAGAGCUCGUAGGCGGCCACUCAAGUCGAAUGUGAAACCUCGAGGCUCAACCUCGAGCCUGCAUUCGAUACUGGGCGGCUAGAGUCUGGUAGGGGGAUCUGGAAUUCCUGGUGUAGCGGUGAAAUGCGCAGAUAUCAGGAGGAACACCGAUGGCGAAGGCAGGUCUCUGGGCCACUACUGACGCUGAGAAGCGAAAGCGUGGGGAGCGAACAGG
rnacentral:rRNA from 1 species